rnacentral:rRNA from 1 species
UAACUGGUCUGAGAGGAUGAUCAGUCACACUGGAACUGAGACACGGUCCAGACUCCUACGGGAGGCAGCAGUGGGGAAUAUUGCACAAUGGGCGCAAGCCUGAUCCAGCCAUGCCGCGUGUAUGAAGAAGGUCUUCGGAUUGUAAAGCACUUU